rnacentral:misc_RNA from 1 species
GAUGAAGAACGUAGCGAAAUGCGAUAAGUAAUGUGAAUUGCAGAUUUCAGUGAAUCAUCGAAUCUUUGAACGCACCUUGCGCCUUGUGGUAUUCCACAAGGCAUGCCCGUUUGAGUAUCAUUAAAUCAUCAACUCUAAAACCUUUGUGGUUUUUUUAGAGCUUGGUCUUGAGGGUUUUGCAGGCUUUUUUUUUUUUUCGAGUCUGCUCCCUUUAAAUGCAUUAGCGAGACUUCCCUAUGCUGAACCGUCUCUUUGACGUGAUAAUUAUCUGCGUCGAAUUUUGGUUCUCGUUGGGCUUGCUUCUAAUCGUCUGUUAAAGACAAAACGGAUUUGGGUGCAUAUAUGCGCCUUUUUCCAAAACCUUUUUUGAUCUCAAAUCGGGUAGGACUACCCGCUGAACUUAAGCAUAUCAAUAAGCGGAGGA